rnacentral:rRNA from 1 species
CCUACGGGCGGCAGCAGUGAGGAAUAUUGGUCAAUGGCCGUAAGGCUGAACCAGCCAAGUCGCGUGAAGGAAGACGGCCCUAUGGUUUGUAAACUUCUUUUAUAGGGGAAUAAAGGUAUCCACGUGUGGCUAUUUGCAUGUACCCUAUGAAUAAGCAUCGGCUAACUCCGUGCCAGCAGCCGCGGUAAUACGGAGGAUGCGAGCGUUAUCCGGAUUUAUUGGGUUUAAAGGGUGCGUAGGUGGGUGUUUAAGUCAGCGGUGAAAGUUUGGGGCUCAACCAUAAAAUUGCCGUUGAAACUGGAUGACUUGAGUGUGUGAGAGGUAGGCGGAAUGCGUGGUGUAGCGGUGAAAUGCAUAGAUAUCACGCAGAACUCCGAUUGCGAAGGCAGCAUACUAGGCCAUAACUGACGCUGAUGCACGAAAGCGUGGGGAUCAAACAGGAUUAGAUACCCCAGUAGUC